AACGAACGCUGGCGGCAUGCCUAACACAUGCAAGUCGAACGAGACCUUCGGGUCUAGUUGCGCUCGGGGGCGUAACGCGUGGGAAGCUGCACUUAGGUUCCGAAUCAUUCCCCUUAAGGGGUGCUAAUGCAGGAUAAUGUCUUCGCACCAAAGAUUUAUCGCCUUUGGAUGGGCCCGGGUUGGUUUAGCCAGUUGGUAGGGUAAAAGCCUACCAGGGCGAGGAUCCAUAGCUGGUCUGAGAGGAGGAGCAGCCACACUGGGACUGAGACACGGCCCAGACUCCUACGGGAGGCAGGCGUGGGGAAUAUUGGACAAUGGGGGAAAGCCUGAUCCAGCAAUGCCGGGUGAGUGAUGAAGGCGUUAAGGUUGAAAAGCUCGUUUACCCGGGAUGAUAAUGACAGUACCGGAAGAAUAAGCUCCGGCUAACUCCGUG
rnacentral:rRNA from 1 species